AUUGGUCACACACUUCUCACCCCGCUCCAAUCCGUGGUUACCAUCGAGGGUACACGGAUUCAGUGACUGGUCUACGUUUUGGGAAGACGCACUGGGAGGGACCCACCCUUCCUAGUGGCAGUCGAGCAUUGUAGACGUUCUGUUUCAUUUUCCUUUACCUAUACUUGGGACGCUUUGUAUAUGGGACAGGAAACGAGUAAGCCCGCUAGGGGCUGGCUCGCGUGUGAUUUAGUUGAAGAUAGAGAAGGUGAAGAACUGGUUAAAAAUGUUGCAAAG